GUGACCUCAAAUCAGGUAGGACUACCCGCUGAACUUAAGCAUAUCAAUAAGCGGAGGAAAAGAAACUAACAAGGAUUCCCCUAGUAACUGCGAGUGAAGUGGGAAAAGCUCAAAUUUAAAAUCUGGCGGUCUUUUGGCUGUCCGAGUUGUAAUCUAGAGAAGCAUUAUCCGCG
rnacentral:rRNA from 1 species